AGAGUUUGAUCCUGGCUCAGAUUGAACGCUAGCGGGAUGCUUUACACAUGCAAGUCGAACGGCAGCGCGAGAGAGCUUGCUCUCUUGGCGGCGAGUGGCGGACGGGUGAGUAAUAUAUCGGAACGUGCCCAGUAGCGGGGGAUAACUACUCGAAAGAGUGGCUAAUACCGCAUACGCCCUACGGGGGAAAGGGGGGGAUCGCAAGACCUCUCACUAUUGGAGCGGCCGAUAUCGGAUUAGCUAGUUGGUGGGGUAAAGGCUCACCAAGGCAACGAUCCGUAGCUGGUUUGAGAGGACGACCAGCCACACUGGGACUGAGACACGGCCCAGACUCCUACGGGAGGCAGCAGUGGGGAAUUUUGGACAAUGGGGGAAACCCUGAUCCAGCCAUCCCGCGUGUAUGAUGAAGGCCUUCGGGUCGUAAAGUACUUUUGGCAGAGAAGAAAAGGUACCUCCUAAUACGAGGUACUGCUGACGGUAUCUGCAGAAUAAGCACCGGCUAACUACGUGCCAGCAGCCGCGGUAAUACGUAGGGUGCAAGCGUUAAUCGGAAUUACUGGGCGUAAAGCGUGUGUAGGCGGUUCGGAAAGAAAGAUGUGAAAUCCCAGGGCUCAACCUUGGAACUGCAUUUUUAACUGCCGAGCUAGAGUAUGUCAGAGGGGGGUAGAAUUCCACGUGUAGCAGUGAAAUGCGUAGAUAUGUGGAGGAAUACCGAUGGCGAAGGCAGCCCCCUGGGAUAAUACUGACGCUCAGACACGAAAGCGUGGGGAGCAAACAGGAUUAGAUACCCUGGUAGUCCACGCCCUAAACGAUGUCAACUAGCUGUUGGGGCCGUUAGGCCUUAGUAGCGCAGCUAACGCGUGAAGUUGACCGCCUGGGGAGUACGGUCGCAAGAUUAAAACUCAAAGGAAUUGACGGGGACCCGCACAAGCGGUGGAUGAUGUGGAUUAAUUCGAUGCAACGCGGAAAACCUUACCUACCCUUGACAUGUCUGGAAAGCCGAAGAGAUUUGGCCGUGCUCGCAAGAGAACCGGAACACAGGUGCUGCAUGGCUGUCGUCAGCUCGUGUCGUGAGAUGUUGGGUUAAGUCCCGCAACGAGCGCAACCCUUGUCAUUAGUUGCUACGCAAGAGCACUCUAAUGAGACUGCCGGUGACAAACCGGAGGAAGGUGGGGAUGACGUCAAGUCCUCAUGGCCCUUAUGGGUAGGGCUUCACACGUCAUACAAUGGUCGGGACAGAGGGUCGCCAACCCGCGAGGGGGAGCCAAUCUCAGAAACCCGAUCGUAGUCCGGAUCGCAGUCUGCAACUCGACUGCGUGAAGUCGGAAUCGCUAGUAAUCGCGGAUCAGAAUGUCGCGGUGAAUACGUUCCCGGGUCUUGUACACACCGCCCGUCACACCAUGGGAGUGGGUUUCACCAGAAGUAGGUAGCCUAACCGUAAGGAGGGCGCUUACCACGGUGGGAUUCAUGACUGGGGUGAAGUCGUAACAAGGUAGCC
rnacentral:rRNA from 1 species